CUACGGGAGGCACCAGUGAGGAAUAUUGCACAAUGGGGGGAACCCUGAUGCAGCAACGCCGCGUGGAGGAUGACGCAUUUCGGUGUGUAAACUCCUUUUAUAUGUCAAGAAAAUGACGGUAGCAUAUGAAUAAGCACCGGCUAACUCCGUGCCAGCAGCCGCGGUAAUACGGAGGGUGAAGCGUUACUCGGAAUCACUGGGCGUAAAGGACGCGUAGGCGGGUUGGAAAGUCAGGUGUGAAAUCCUACAGCUUAACUGUAGAACUGCACUUGAAACUUCUAAUCUAGAGUAUGGGAGGGGGAGAUGGAAUUAGUGGUGUAGGGGUAAAAUUCGUAGAUAUCACUAGGAAUACCUAAAGCGAAGGCGAUCUCCUGGAACAUUACUGACGCUAAGGCGUGAAAGCGUGGGGAGCAAACAGGGUUAGAUACCCUCGUAGUC
rnacentral:rRNA from 1 species